rnacentral:rRNA from 1 species
AUUGAACGCUGGCGGCAGGCCUAACACAUGCAAGUCGAGCGGAUGAAGGGAGCUUGUUCCUGGAUUCAGCGGCGGACGGGUGAGUAAUUCCUACGAAUCUGCCUGGCAGUGGGGGAUAACGUCCGGUAACGGGCGCUAAUACCGCAUACGUCCAGAGGGAGAAAGUGGGGGAUCUUCGGACCUCACGCUAUCAGAUGAGCCUAGGCCGGAUUAGCUAGUUGGUGGGGUAAAGGCCUACCAAGGCGACGUUCCGUAACUGGUCUGAGAGGAUGAUCAGCCACACUGGAACUGAGACACGGUCCAGACUCCUACGGGAGGCAGCAGUGGGGAAUAUUGGGCAAUGGGCGAAAGCCUGAUCGAGCCACGCCGCGUGUGUGAAGAAGGUCUUCGGAUUGUAAAGCACUUUUAGUUGGGAGGAACGGCAGUAAGUUAAAACCUUGCUGUUUUGACGUUACCAACUGAAAAAGCACCGGCUAACUUCGUG